ACUCCUUUCUGCUGCCCUUUUUGGUAACUAAUUUUGGGAAAUGAACUGCUGUUGCUGAACUCCUGUCUCCUUGAGGUUUGCACUUGUUCUUUUUCACUUGUAGGAUCGCUGCUUUGGGUAUUUCUUGUUUUGAAUGGGUUGUUCUGUUUAACAGUAAUGCUGGUAUUAAGACUGUUAACAAAUAGUUUUAAAUCAGCUUUAUCCUCCUAGAAUCCAGAGUUCUAUGUGGCCAUUUCUGUAGCUUUGGUUAUUAAAUCCUUUAGCAAGCAAUAAUCUCUGAAUCUGCUUGAAGGUUGUUACUGUUAAUGAAUGGCUUCUUUCCUCACAUACUCUUCUGCCAGCACAUUAGCAACUUUAAUAUACUGUUUUAAUGAUGAUUACAAUAGAAAAGUUGCACAUUUCUGGAAAAAAAAUCUUUAAAACCCCUGCUGAAAAUGUUGUUUGAAUUGCCUUGGAGGCAAAUUGUUCAUUUUGAAGGCUGGGAGGAAAGGCAAAAAAGAUUUCUCAAGAAAUCAAGCCAGGAACACUUUUUCAGGAAUCCUGUGUAUUUAUCCUCAUAGCUUUCUCUGGAGGCUGCCUGUAGAAGUAACAAAAUCUUAACUGUAGUUUCUGGGAUGGUAUUGUCUCCACAACUAGCAGGUGCUAAUUAAGGAGAACAAGUAUGUGGUCUUAUUCUUUUUGUCCAUCUAAACCUUGUUUUCCCAUGUGGUUUAUUUUUAGACCCAUAGUGGUGUGGAGUUACAUAAAUUGGAGUGUUGAAGGAGGGCAUGAUGCACACUUGGGUUAGCAUUAGCUGUCAGACUGAGACCAUUGUUAGUAUUAAAAUUGUUCUUUGAUUCCUCAAAUAAGGUUAUGAAAUACACUUGCAUAACAAUGAAAGGAUUAGGCAAUCCAAAAUAUACUUCAACUUAAGGUAAGAUCAGUCAAAGAAGGUUUUUCAUAGUACAAUUUUAUAAAGUGCCUCAUCUUCAAAACUUAGAAGGCCUUCCCAAGCCAACAUUUUAACAUGGAAAUGAAAUGCUGUUUCAUAACCCUAAAGGAGCCCCUUCAAAUCUGCACUGUGAAACACUUAAUGGCAGAGCAGUCUCUUUCCAAUGUAUUGUAAAGCUUGCAGAGAGUGCACAGGAGAUAGUAUGUUUAGAAGCUCUUUUAAAGUCUUAAAGUAUAUAUUUUAAAGCAAUCUGAGAGGUUCUGAGAAUGCUUAUGUGACUUCUUAUGAUUAAGAGUUCUGUGUGUUCCCCUUAAUGAAAGUUAAAUCAGUGCUUAAGCCAAUAAAGAUGUGUAGUAUAUUUGAUGACUGUUAUUGAUGUGGCUUAAAUGUUGAAUUGACAGUUUCCAAGAACUCUAAAUUAUGACAUCACCAUGAGUUAAAAUAUGGGAGGAUCCUAAAUUCUCCAGCUGUUCUUCCUUCAGACCUAAGUCAUACACUUAUUUAUAACAGUUUCAGAGACCUUUUUAAAGCACUCUGUGUGUUCUGAGUCUCUUACAGUAAUAGAAAACUAAACUUAGAUUCUAGUAUUGCUAUGACUGGGUUUCCAUAACAGUUCCAUUCAUCUAUCUCUAAAUGUUAGUGUAAAGUGGCUUUAAAAAAAAAAAAAAAAAAUACUCCAAGAAAGUAUAGCUAUGUCUGGACUGCGGAACUUGAGAUUUUGGCUUAAGUUUUAAAGGAGUAGUCAACACCCUUUAGAUUUAAUUGAGGAUCUGUUCAUAUGUAAACUUCCUGUAGAUUGUGUCCUGCUUUGCUUUUCUUUUCUUUUUUAUUUUUUUUCUGUUGGCAAAGCUCUUUUCCUUGUAUUCCCCUUCAUGGUCCCAGAAAAGAUUGGCUUGACCAAUAGUGGGUGGACUUCUGUUGAAAGUAAUACUACUUAAUUCAUAAGAUAUCAUCUGAAUCAGCUGAUUUGAAGCCAACUUUUUUGAUGCAAGUCAAUGCUGACUUAAAUAGAACAAUGUGUCUAGAUGUGUGAAGUCUUAUACAGCUAGUCUUUUCCGUGUCAGCUAAACUGGUGGUCCAAAAGCAAAGCUAAUACUCUGGAGUAUUAUGUAGGCUUUUAAGUAUUCUUGCAGGGUGUUUAGUCCAAAAAACUGUAAAUGGAUUUUGUAAAGACAUGGAUCUUGCAUGUAAUAUUGCUUCAGUAGUUAAGUGUCUGUACUUUCUGAGGUUUUGGUGUGUUGUGUGUUUUUUUUUUUUAAAUGUGGUUCAGGGGAAAUUCUUUUUCAUCCCUUGAUCGUUAAUCAAGCCUCGAUGUGUUUCUACAUAAAGACCGAAAAUAAGGCUCUAGUACUGUCCCUUGAAACAUUUGACAUCAGAUUAAUUGCCUGUUCUCCAUGCAGAAUGCAGGUGAUCUGAUCUUGCUUUUAUGUCAGCUGCUGCCAUUGAAGGGCUGCCCAACUUCUGCAGUAGGCAGUGACAUGAAAAUCUGUCACUGUUUGCUAUUGUGACUCCGACUGGGCUGUGUACCAUAUCACAAACUGGCAGUCAAGAGAGCUUUAGCAGCAUGCAACAGCCUAAACAGAUGCUUUCCAUUUUGCUGACAUGCAUGAUUUGUGUAAUCCUUCCUAUGAGUGUUCUAUAUAAAAAUGUCACCACUGCAUCAUGUAGCAAUUUCCACAGCAUAAAAUCCACUGCAGUAUUAAAAACCUGUUAUUUCAUGCUGUGAUAACUUGAAUGCUUCUGAUAUUGAAAACACAGGGACAAAAUCCAUUGCCGGUUUGAAAUAAGCCAGCUCUGGUUUACUAUAAUUUGCAGAUGCAUAAAAUUGUAGCAGGAGUGUAAUACUAUCUUUCCUGCCAGUCUCUUGCAAGAAUAAUAACUUACUUGGCUGCGCUUGUCAAUUAUUAGAAUGAAUUUCUACAGACUAGGAAAUUUUCUUUCUAUGAUGUGUCAGGAUUCAAAUUUCAAAAAUGUUGUCACAAUACAACUUAAAGCUGUUGCUAAAUCAGAUUUUAGUAAAUGUAGGAAUUGGACUUUUUUCUUGUAGUUUUACAAUAAAGCUUAAGUAUCAAAAAUACUGUGGUUUAGAGAAUGGCACCAUAUCAAAUAAAACUAUAAACUCUUAAUUUUGGGACAAUUUGAGAGUCUUGUACCUACUCUAACACUUCUUCUGGAAAAAUGAUCUAUUGCUGGAUACAUAAAUAUUAAUAUUGGACAUUGCUAUAAUACCUGAGCAAUCCUAGUUUUUGUCACUGGGGAAGGGCCAGUGCAGGGUGAUGAGCAGGUUCUGAAAUUCUGUGACAUGAAGAUCCUGCUGUACAACAGGUCUUCAGUAUUCAGCUCUAAGAGAUCAGUGAUCUGUGUUUCCCUGUCAUGUGGAUACUCCAAAUAUUUCAGCUUAAAGCUUUCCUCCUAGAGUUCUCUUCAACUUACCAUAAGGGGGAAGCAAAAGCAUUCUGCUCCAGCUCUGUCAUAUUAAAAAAAAAAAAAAAAAAUCCAUAUAGGGAGAGACUAGGACCUGGAGUUUAAAGGCUUGUGUACUGCUUUCUUAGCCUGGGUUGUUGGUUUUUUUCCAUUUAUUUAGAGCUGCUUGGUUUUUUUGAAGGUAUGCUGGCAUCUCUGUAGGAAUUGAAGUAAUUUUCAGAUGGCCUGACAUUGGUGGGGGGAGAUAAAUACUGAUUCGAGAGAAGAACAAUACUCAGGUAUUUAGGGCAUUCAUGAAAACCUCUAAAAUUUAAAUAUACCUUGGGAAGAUGGUUAAUGCAGAGUUACUAAAUCAAAUACCCAUUGAUACAGCUGCUGUACUUAUCAGUCUCUUUAGACUGACAGGAUUGCUAAAGCCUUGGAGGGGCUAUAGUUACCUAUAAUGUAGCAGUAUUUAUGUAUUGUUGUCUUCUCUUCAGCCUCCCUGGUGUUAAAUGAAGCUCACUUAUGCCAAUAGUUUGUUUAGUUCAAAUACAGAAGUAUUACACAUAGUCUGUGCAAGGAAUCUUCUACAGAAGAAAACGCAGCUUAUGAUAUUUGAAACUAUACCCUGCUGAGUCUUUUGGCCUGUUGGCAUGAUUUUUAAUUGUUGCUGUCAAAUUUAGGAUUCUAGUACUGAUGAUCAAAUAUAGACAGAAUAUUCCACCAACGGGGCACCCAGCUAUAUUUAGUAUUUCAGAUGAGUGAAGUUAGCUUUGUUUUUUUGGUUUUUUUUUUUUCUUUUUAAUAAUGAUGUACCCUAAGAUGCUCAAGUUCACUUACAAAGUUUAAUCGACAUGUUCCUGACUUGUUUCUUUGAAAAAUGAGCCGGAUCAAGUUCAAGCAAAACAUUUGUAUGUGAUCCAAAAAGUAUCAUCAAAACUAACUCUUCCCUUGCUCAAUUAUUCCAACUCCAUGCCACCAGUAAAUUACCCUGGACAGCACAUGUGUUUCAUAUACUGUGGUAGCAUGCUGGGUAGUGAGUAUGAAGGAAAAAGCAAUCAUACUCUUAGCUAUGGAAAUAGUCAUAUUAGUCAUACUUAAAACUUAUAAGUGCUUUGGUAUGGUUCUGCUGUUCAUAUGUUUCUGGGUUCAUUUCUCAAAAAAAGAGAGGGAAUCUAUCAAAUGAGAAAAUACUAUCUUCCAGAUGCAGGCCCUAGAAAACUACACUUUCCUGUUUUAUAAAGCAGUGUACUUAGCCCAAGUUUUGGAAAAUAAAGGGGUGGAUAUAUAUUUCUGGAGUUAAAAUGGGCACAAUGCUACUGGCUCAGAACUUUCUUCAUGGGUUUACUUUAUGGUCUACAAGGACUAGCAUUGUGUCAAGCACAGUUGUCAGUUACCAUCAUGCAGUCUUUAAUUUUGUAUCUUGCAAUUUGUGUAUAUCUGUAUCUUAGCUUUGUAAUCAUGUUUUAGGUAUAGUGAUCACUUAAACAUUCAUAUUUUUUCAUUUGUUUUGUUUUAAAGUUUUUUUUUUUGAUGCAGACACCAGCCCAGACCCUUGAAUUAGAUGCCUGUAUGUUUGAGCUUUGACCAUAGCACCAAUCUUACACCGGUUUCAGAAUAGUAAUGGAAGAGGAUAAAAAUGAAUCUUUCAGCAAUGUACUCAUCCAAAGAGUCAACACACAUAACUGAGCGUGUAGGGAUGGGGUGCUAGAAAAGCAUUGUGAAAGUUCACUUAAGGAAAGGGAAAGUUGUCCUGAAGAGACCAUGCCAAGACUACUUGAAGCAUAUCUUAAGUAUUAGCUAUUAAGUGGCUCCAUCUAAAAUGAAGCUGGAGUUGCAGUACAGUUUGCAGAGGUAAGGCACUUGGGAAAAUCUCACUCUUUAGUCUCCUUUGACUUUUUCUGAGGCUUGGAGACUUGUCAGCAAACUGUGUGAAUGUUUUCAGGAUUGCUAAUCUUCUCUGAAGGCAUGGUCCUGGAUGAGUGAUCAGUGUGAUGGUUAUAUUCCUCCUUUUUAUGGACCGCAGUAGGUCAGCUGAAUAAGCAAAAACCUCUGACCUGGCUUUGGUCUGCAAUUAUGCAGUUACUUGUGAAGGAUGUGGGGAGACAGGAAAACCUUGAAUGUGACAAUGGUGUUUGCCAGUGUGGUGCCUAACCUUGCUACAAGUGGAGAGAGCAGCUCUUCAAUGUUUCAGUGAAAUACUCAUCUAAAAGGCCAUGUGUAUGCCUUUCUUGUUCUGUAGAGGUUAGGAGGGCAAUGGAGUUUGAAGUUCCAUAUUCUUCCAUCUACAGGUAACAUCCACCUUUAUUUUAUGAAAACUGGCUAAGUCAAUUUUGUGUCAUUAUGUUAUUAACUUUCUGUAAUAACCAAGUGACUGUAGCAGAAUUGGAGAAGACAGCUGUGUUCGUGUGCUCGGUGGUGGAGAAAAGCAAUCCUAAUUAUGAUGCAGCCAAGUGUCCUGCUAACCCAGUGUUUGCAACACUGCCUAAGACCUUUCUUAGCUGAUCUGUGUGGGUAAGCAAUCCUUUUUCAUAGCUCUCAGUGUCAUCAAUUACUUUGACUAGACAGGCUGAGGAAAGAUGAAUGUUAUGUUUUCUAGCACCAUCUCUGUCAUUUUAGCACUGCACUUCUUAAAUCUUUUCUACUUUUAUCCUUAUCAGCUGUGAACUGUUACUCUCUCCCAGUGCUUCUCAUGCUUUGAUUUUGCUUCCGGGGUUUUUCUGCGGGAAGGAAAGGAUUUUACGUACUGUAGUACUAAAUCUUUCCACAAUGCUCUGUAUGUAAAAGCCAGUGCCUCACUCACUUGAUAAGCCUUGCUCCCUUUGACCUUUUAGGUUUCUGCCUAUUGACACUGAUGGUAAAACUGAGUUACUGAUACCUCUGUCUUUUUUGAAAAAUGGCAGAUGACUUUCUAAGAAGGCAAACUGAAGCUGAUAUGCAUGUGCUUUUACCUGUGGUCUUAGACCUCUUCAUCUGCUAAAAAUUAGAGUCUUUCAGUCUUUCAAAAUGCAGUUACAAUAUAGGUGAGUAGGCAUAGACUUUGAGAUUCAUAGAAUCUUGGGCUUGAGGGUUUAGUUUGAAAGAUAUGUCACAAAUGGGAGAUUUACAUCUGUGCUUACACUUUUGAAUGAACACUCUGUUCUUGUAAAUAAUUAUAUUAGUAAAAUGAUUUAUAUGUCAGUCAAAUUAACACUUGACAUGAGUGAGUUAUCACAACUGGGAUGGGAGGGCAUGGUAGGCCAAGAUAUACUGCAACAGCUGCAGAACUGAGGUGGCUGACAGUGUGAACCUUUUGAAAUUCAAGUUUGUUUGGCUGUUGAAUUCUGCACCUAAAUGUGCCCUGGUGCUGGUUGCUUCUGCCAUCUGUUUGAACUUGUGUGACAGCUUCUCAAGCACUCCCCUAUUCAGCAUUGUUUUGAAAAAGCUCACAAGUGUGUGUUUAGAAGUUGUCCAAAAUUCCUGUUGAUCUAGGAUGAAACUACAAGGCAGCUUAGUGGUGGCAAUCUGUCUUGUGGGACCAUCCCUUGAAUCACUAGCUUUUAUAUUCAGCUGGUGUUAGGGUGAGCUGGUUCUGCUCACUAACUUGUCUGCAGGGCAGGGAGCAAAGCUGCUAAUUUUCUUGCCCAAGUUGAUUCAUUUUUCUGUUUGAAGGCUAGAAUCACCUCAUCAGCAUUUCAGUCUUGGAGUAGCCAAUGCGUGGGGGAAGUGUUGAAGAGGAAUAGGAUAAAACCACAUAGCUGAACGGGGCCUCUGUGAUUAUCCUAGUGAAACCUCAUUCUUAGACUUUUUUUUAGUAGGAUUUACGUCCUCUAAAUAAUUAAGUAGUCAUGAAUGAUUCCAAGCCAUAACAAAUCCUCCUCUGGCAUAACAGUCUGAAUAUAAUGACUUCAAAAGAGAUGGCAGUAUUUUAAUUACAACUGUUAAAAACCCUUAGAUAAAGGUAUGCUAGUUUUCUGUACACAUCAGGUGAUGUUGUGCUAACAGCUUUAGCUUAUUUACCUUGAAACAAUGCUAUAAUUGCUGUGAUCUCUGUGCCUACUGCACUGUUUGACUUCUGGAAAUCAGUUUUACUAACACAGAAUGUGGAAAAAAAACCCAGGCUGGAGCCAUGCUGCAGCUUGUGGGAAAUAAGCAUAGUUUCCACAGACAUGCAAAGGAAGUAUUUCUCUUCUCUCAAGACUCACCCCCUAAGAAAGUGAGUAGUUUGAUGUUUGUUUAAAAUGCCUGUGCCAGCAAAGUCUUUGAAAAUUGCAUUAGUUGCUGGUUUAGUUACUGUAUUAGCUGGAGUCUUUUGAUCAUUUUAUCCUUUGUUGGCUUAUGAAGCAAAAAUUUACCUGCUGAGACUAUUUAUUUUCUGUACCCCCUUUUGUGGAAGGGUGGGGAGAAGUAUGAAACAUAAACACCUGGGUUUUUAAAAACCUACAAGCUUCGUGCAUUUUAGAAAUGCUACUUCUCCUUCAGUGAGUUACUUUGUAGGAAGUCAUAGUCUUUUAGGGUCUUACUGUUUCCUGAAGAAACACUGAAGUUAAAUCUCUAGUUAAAUCUCAUCUUCCCUAGUUUUCGGUUUCCACUAAGUAAGACUGCUGUGUAGAAAGAGAAACUUUCUUUCUAGUCUUGUUCCUCUUGUGAGAUAUUCAGUUGUAGCAUGAUCACUUUCCUUGUUAUGAAGGAAAUGAUUCAAAACAGUGACUUGGGGACUGAGUUGGGUAGGAUGAGUAAAGUGACUCAGCUUUCAUCUGCCUGCAAGUACUCUAGGAAUUGCAUUGUUACAGAGGUACUUGCCUUAAGGUAUCUAUAGAAUAUGGCAGUCUCUUUCUGCUUAGCCACUUCUUAAAAAGCCUACUACAUAAAUCAUAAAACAUGAAUGAUGACUUCAUAUUUUCCGUAAGUGUUUCUGACAGUACUGUUCUCUAUUAAUGUUUUGGAAACCUGUAGACAAAAAUACCAAGCUUUACUAAAUAGUCCAGAAGAUGACUAAGCUUAUGGCAAGCUGGAGAAAAACGUGGAUUUAAAAGUUGGAUUCUGUUCUUGUUCACUGAACAAAAAAUUCUGAGCUCUUAUCUAAUCGUUUUUUCUAAAAUGAAUUUGUUAUGUGGAUUUUUUGCGGACUCAUAGGGGCAUGUUUUCAUUUUUGUCAAGAUUAUCAAAUAGCUGGCAGUAAAUAACUGCUCUCCAAAUGGUUGGACAUUUGCUGCAAACUUGUGCUAAUGAAGGUGAGGAAGGAACUAAUGUGUUUGUUACACUAAUGUCAACAUAGCUCUGAAAUGCUACAAAUCCUUUGACACAGCCAUUUGUCAGUAUAUAAACAAAGUAGAAUUUCUAGUCACUUGACUUCAGCAGGGCUUAAGCCUCCUUUUGUGGAAGGGAGUAGGCAAGUGUUAACUUCCUGUUUUACUUGAGUAGAAAACUCUAAAGUAAUUUCAAAUUUGACAUUUGAAGAAACCUAUUUUUAGGUCAUCUUUACUGAUAGAUCUGCCUGUGGAAGAAUACAAGCUUGGUGCUGCUGCCUACUCAGACUGUAAUUUAAAUUCCUGAAUUUGCAGGAGUGUAUCUGUACUGUCACAGCCACAUUGGAGCUCUUUGUUAGUCAUGGCUAUAUAGAAAGCUCAAAUACUGACCUGGCAGAUUUGAGUAGAAAGAUUCACUUUCUAAGAUGCAUGUUACUUUUCAGUGGCUGCCAACUGUGUAAUACUUCAUUUAAAUGAAUAGUAAUUGUGGUUGGAUAGCUAUGAUAGUCUGAGAGUAGAAUGAGAUUAAUUUUUAUGGAGAGUAAAUAUUAGCUUGUCUAAUAAAAUGCCUUUGACCAGGAGGGAAGAGGUCAGCUUUUUACAAGCGAGUACUUUGAAACCUUCGGUUCUCGUGCUUGGUUAUGCCUUAAGUUUGUGCUGUCUGGAGAAGUCUGCAGGUAUACAUUUGUUCCACUUUGGUCUAGACUUGCUUGUUUUAUGUGUAAGGUGGAUUAAACACAUAGCUGGGCCUCCAAUGGCCCUCUUACUAUGCCAUCUUACCUCUAUUUCUCAGUCUCAUCUUUUAGAUUACUUUGGCAUUUACAAACAUCAUUGGCAGUUUAUGUUUUGCGCUUUAACAUGACUUAGGCAGAGAUACUCUUUUUUACUGUACAUUGCUAGCUGUCAAGAAUCCAAUAUGUUUGGAUUGCUCUGACUAAACUUUAAAACCAUUAGAAUUCAAAGUACCAAAAAUUGUUUGUGAGGGCUCAGAAUGUCCUAAAGAAGCUGGCAUGGUAGUGUAGUUACUGGAGGACUUCUGAUAGCCAGGGAGACAUAAUUAGGUUUUGAAAACAAUAUGGUACAUGUAUGUGCUGAACUUGGCUUAAAUAUGUUAUUUCCUCAAGAAAUUCAGCUGGGUGCUCUGCACUGCUUCAUUGGGCCCUCCCUCCAGCAGAAGGGGCUUGAGACCAAAGGAGAAGGAGAAAUGGAAGUAGGAGACACUGCUUCAGAUCAGGAUAAUUUAUUGCAGGCAAGAUGUCUUGUCACAGAGAUACAGGAGAGAUGGAGCAGAGGAGUUGGCAUCCUUUCCAGUUAGUUAAGAUUCUGUGUUGAUAAACUUGCAGUUAACAAAGUGAAGAGUGCAAAGUCUCUGCUGGCUUAUGAAUUUCUUCCUCUGUAAGAGAAAGAGGGAAUGGGCUGUUGAACAGCGAAUUAGUGUACUUAAGUGGAGAAUCACAGAAUGGCUGAGGUGGGAAUGGGAAGGUCAUCAGGUCCACCUCCCCUGCUCCAGCUGGGCCACCCAGAGCCAGUUCCUCAGGCUUGUGCCCAAACAGCUUUCUAAUUCCUCUAAGGAUGGAGAUUUUUCACCAUCUCUAUGGGCAACCAGUGAGAAUGUGCUUUGUUUCUCAUAGCUGUAUGAAAUCAAAGACUUGCAGACUCUGGAGAGAAGUCCAAAUAUAUAAUCAGGGACUGAAGCAGUUAUGUGUACUGCUGCAUACAUAGGAAGCACAAAUCAGCCAAGCGAUGUCGGCAAGUACAGGUGGACAUGGACAACUCGGUGUACAUUUAUGGUUUUGUAUAGGUACAGGCAUGUCCUUUAAAGGCAACUAGAUGUUUGCACAAAAAUGACUGGUGGCAUAUAGACAUUAGAAAGACUGGACACUUUACAGGACAGGCCUGUCAUCUGAGGAUGGAAAUAAUUUUAAAAAAGAGGUAAAUCUAAAAUCUCUUAGGAAGAAAAAAAUAUAGAAGUUCUUGGGAGCAGGAAGGUGGAAACUGUUAUCAAUAACAUAAAGGCUCUGAAUUCCAUUUGCUGAUGUGGUGAUAACAAGGGUUGUUCAGCUUCAAUACCUCAAUUUCUUCAUGCCCAGAAACUAUAUAUUAGUAGUGACUCCUAAACAGAUGUGCAAAGUGUUCUUUAGGAGAAAUUAGGGCUACUUUUACCUCUGUUCUAUGUACCUAAACCCCUGCUCUAGGUUAUGGUGCCCACAAAAUCUAGUUUGAUGCAGUGGUGGAGGAUGCAGAAAAGCUUUACUGAAGAGACCUUGAAGUCUGAUUAGUGGCAGAGCACUAUAAAGCUUACAGUGACACCUUUUCCACCUUGAUUCUCAAGAGGCAAGUUUCUGAAGUCAAAAUUGUAUUACUUAGGUAGUGUUCUUGAGUACUUAACCGACACUUUAGAUGAGAGGGAGAACAAAUCUGUUUUCUGCCCCAAUGUGGGGUAAGAUAGCAGGAAAUUAAGUCCUUAUAAUGAAGGAGGGGGAGACCAUGUUGUGAUGUGACAAGGCAGCACUAAUAAAAGUUUCUGUUGCAAUGUCCUUCCCUAAGCAUUUUUCAUACCCCUCUCUCUGUAGACACAGCCUUUUUAAACUAAGCCUUGUUAACAAACUAUACAAAAGGCAAUUUAGUCAGGCAAUGUUCUGUAGCCCUAGGCAGAGCAUAAUUAGUUCUAGUAGUAAAGAGUGGAAAUCAAUGAUUAAUGUUUGAGAGAUAACUGGUGGUAUUAGUUUCCUGUGUGCUUUUUUUUGUUUAAUAGCAUUACUUAUCUUAUCUUUACUGUCUACCCAUUGUAAACAGCUUUGUGGCACUAAGUUCUGAUUAAGGAAACUAUUUAAUUCAGUUUCAGCUUUUGUCUGAUAAACUCAUACUGAGUUAGCUCCAUGUAAAAGAGGAACCCUUAUGAUAACUAAACUCUUCGUAGGAAAAGUGGUCACUAUUGGCUUUGAAAACUGGAGAAAUUCUGGAACUGAAUCCUAAACAAUACAAAUGCUAAACAAUGUAGUAAUGUAAAUGUGGGCUGUAGCAUUCUUAUUCUUUUGCAAAUGGUGUGACAGAUGCUUAUUGCUACUAACAAACCCAUUACAAACUUCCAUAAAUAGGAUUUAACCUUGUUUUGUUCAACUUUAAUGCUUCUCAGCUGAUUUGAUAUGUGUGUUGAGAAACAGGGAAUGCUAUGUAUGUACAUUGCUCAUGAGGGUAGAGAAAAUUACUUCCAUAAAUUAAUAAUAAAUUCUAAACUGAGUGAGUCAAGUAUUAGCUUAUGUUUUUACUAAUCUAAGACUUCAUGUACUUCAAUGCAGUAUUUCAUGCAGAGUUGGGAGAGAAGAAAAGUAUGCCUGUUUCUCAGUAACCUAAAAAAAUUUUUAAAUUAAUUGUUUCUUUUAAUUUGUGACUUAAUGUCUUGAGGGUAUUUCUUAAUCCAUGAAUACUUUCCUAUUUUGCUUUUAACACAAAAACUCCUGAUCCUUUUUGCUUCAAAAGGAUCUGGGUAGUCCUAUAAAAAAAUCAGAAAUGUACUUUAUUUUUUUAUUCGUUUCUCUAGGAAGGCUGUGUAAUUCUGACCUAUAGUUCAUUAUCGUUUCUUGUGAAUAGAAACCAAAGAACAAAAAUAGCUCUAAUUUCCACAGCUAUUCAAAUAUUUACUUAGACAGUGGCUAAUUAUCCAGAAGGGGCCCAGCAGUUCUUGAAAACAGUCAGUAGAGACAUCUGAGGUCCUUUAAAGUACAGCUUUGGUCCCUUGUGUUAGCAAGGUCAACAGUAGUUGUAGACUUCUGUCUGCCUGCUGUAUUCAGCCUGUUACUGUCAGAGCCACGUCCUUUGUAUUGUGUGGUCUCUCUAGUCUUCAACUCACUAUUGGUAUUUUCAUGUAGUCAUCGUGCAGUUACUACUCCCACCUUAAGCUAACAUUUCAGAGAUGCUUGUAGAGGGAUAAUUCAGGGAGGAUGUGGAGGCUAUAUGGGACAAGUAAUUGAGAUGAUUGUGCAAAUGGCAAAUAGUUAUUCUCAGUUCUCUUUGGAACCAAAUAAAAAAGCUAGAAGGAAAGUAAAUGGUUAAAGGCAGGCUUGCAACUUCAUACUUUGGUGUGUGAGGAAGCAUUUUGGAUAUUACAUUGCCUACCUUUGAUAAAUCCUCCUAUGAAAGAGUUCUAGGGUAUAUUUUCAAGGCCUUUUCUUAAACCAUUUGGUGAUGACUUCCCCUGUAAUCCUGUAAGCGAGGUUUUAGCCUGUGUUUAUAAACUGUAUGUAAAGUGGCUGUCUUCUGAAAUGAGUUGGGCUAUAUGACUGUAGCUCAAAAUAACUUUAGUGUGUUUACUGAUAAGCUUGCCAUGGGGGUUUUCUGCCUUUCAGGCACCUUCCUUUCCCUUCAACAUAUAUAGUGGUGCUUUAGUGCAACACCAUAUUUUUUGGACAAACCUACUUCAGGUAAGACUGCAGAAAAAUUAGAGGUGCUCUUUUGUCGAACCUUGGUACAUUUCUUCUCAGAAUGGAACAAGAAACUGGGGCAUGUGGAAAUCUCUAUUUGGUUCUAGGGUGGAGUGGCCACAUGCUGUCCUGCACAGGAGUAAGAGAACUUGCAGUGUGCUGUGCUGUGAAGAAGAAUGGGAAGAAAAGACUGUAUGUCCAUGCUAAAGGAGAAGGAGGAUAUAACAUGUAUUUUAGAUGAAAAACUUUUCUUGUCAUUGUUAGUUUAAACUAACAAAUUAGCAAAUGUGUGGCAUCAGGCUGCUAUGGUCUCUGGUACCUUAGUUGAUAGAGAUAUCUGGGUGUGAGUCCUUCCCUAACCACACCGAUUUUGCUUCUUGGAUCUGCCUGAAUAGUUUUUAAUAUGAAGAUAAAACAAUACAUUUACCCAAAAGUGCACUCAUUUGUGCUGUUAGUCAGUUGUUCUGGCUGUCAGGAAUAGCUGUGGCUUGGGAGAAAAUGUUUUCUCUUUUAUACUAGUGCACCACUGUUGUGUAUAACUAGUGAUGUGAAAACUCACCUCUUUUGGUAUUCAAAAGAAUUAACCAUGCUUCUUACCUGAAGGACCUGUAUGGAAAAUGAGCUUUGGCAUAGACUUUGGCAUAAAGGUACUUCAACCUUACAGUAAUACAGCUUGUUUAUGCCAUUAAAGUAGUUUAGAAAGGCUGUUGAGAGAAGGCAGAAAGUAUGAAGAAAUGUAUUGUAUUGAAAAAGAGAAACUUAAAGGACCUUAUGUGUUGGUACCUGUUUAUUUCUUUCUUUGCUAUAAAGGCAACUCUCUAAACAUGAGGCAGCACAUACUUUUCUACUUUGAUGUGCUUUCUGCAUUCAGUUUCCAUUGUGUUGAGCUGCAUACAGCUAACAUUGUUUUCUGUGGAUGCUUGCUUUCUUCUUUAAAAAUAAUUAAUCCAAAAUUUAAUUAAAAAAAUCACUUUCCCAAACACAGUAUUUCUUCAUAUUCUCAUUUGCUGUAUUUAGACUAAUUUGUCUUGACAUUGCAGCUGUGCUGCUCUUUGUGUUUCACAAUCUUUGGAGUUUUGUUUCAUUAAGAAUGGAACUAAAGAAUUUGGGGAAGGGGAGGGAAGAAGUGCUAGACUGUUAGAAGUUAAUUUGCCGUAAACCAAAAUGUUGAGAACAGAUUACGAAAGCUAUGAAGUGACAUGUAAAUGCUUGUUCAGUUUCACAUUUGUGAGAAAUAAGUCAUUUAAGCUGUGUGCACAUGAAAUAGAAGUUUGGUUACAGCUACUGGGAAUAGUUUGGUCUUAUUAGUAUAUUCAAAAGCAUAGAGGAACAUGCUCAGAAGAUUAGGAAUUGAUCUCUAGGUUCCAAAAAACUUAAAGGCUAAACUAGUUUGAAAAAUUAGCUCUACUCUGUUCACAACAGCUCUAUAUGUUCUGUCUCUCCUACCUAGUUUCUAUCUAUCUAAAGUAUACUGCAGGUUAGAAAAUUCAUGUUCCCACUAUGCUUUUGGGGUUUGCUUUUUGAUUUUGGUUUUUGUUGGGAUUUUUUUUUCCCCUUAAAAAACCAGAAAGUUAGUUUUGGGUGAAGAAGAUGCUUAACUUGCAUUUCUCUAUGUUGAACACUGCAUAACUUCCCUGACUGUUCGCCUUUCUGCAUCACAAUUCCUUUCAUCCUCUACAUUCUACUUACUGGUUUCUCCUCAGUGUUGAAAACUGUGGUGUGUUUGUCAUGAAUAAAUGACCCAGCUCUGACUUUAAAUACUUCUGUGUUUUGGUUAAAUGUCUUCCUGUGCAGCUGUGAGAGGUAAAAUUGAAGCUUUGAGGAUCAAACCAGAAGGCAGAUAGUUCAAUUAAACCACUUGACUUGAUUUGAAUUAUUUUGGGGACCUGGUUCAUGACCUCUAAUGCCGUGGACAAAACCCAUCUUUUGCUUGGUGUCUUCUAAUUUUAUUUUUUUUUUAAAUGGAGGAUUAGCAUGUCCAUGCAUCACCUCAGAAGACUAAUGUGGUCUGUGUACCUGUUCAGACAAACUCCAGAUGGGAAGGCCACCCAGGAGGCAUCUUGCCCGAAACCAGUCAAACUCUUAACUAGUUUGUCAGCAGCACAACAAGCGCACAGAAGACUUCAGGUCUGGUAGGCAGAUGUAGUUGAAGCUGAAAGAAACUAGAAACAAGAAACUAGGUUGAUCUGGUUUAUGUAACGUGUAGAAAAA